GGUUAAGCGACUAAGCGUACACGGUGGAUGCCCUGGCAGUCAGAGGCGAUGAAGGGCGUGCUAAUCUGCGAUAAGCGCCGGUAAGGUGAUAUGAACCGUUAUAACCGGCGAUACCCGAAUGGGGAAACCCAGUGUGACUCGUCACACUAUCAUUAACUGAAUCCAUAGGUUAAUGAGGCGAACCGGGGGAACUGAAACAUCUAAGUACCCCGAGGAAAAGAAAUCAACCGAGAUUCCCCCAGUAGCGGCGAGCGAACGGGGAGGAGCCCAGAGCCUGAAUCAGCAUGUGUGUUAGUGGAAGCGUCUGGAAAGGCGCGCGAUACAGGGUGACAGCCCCGUACACAAAAGCGCAUGUGCUGUGAGCUCGAUGAGUAGGGCGGGACACGUGGUAUCCUGUCUGAAUAUGGGGGGACCAUCCUCCAAGGCUAAAUACUCCUGACUGACCGAUAGUGAACCAGUACCGUGAGGGAAAGGCGAAAAGAACCCCGGCGAGGGGAGUGAAAAAGAACCUGAAACCGUGUACGUACAAGCAGUGGGAGCCCCACCACUAAGCCAGUGGUGAACUCCACAUACGCAUCCUUUGCUGAGGAUACGGUUAACGGAGCGAAAGCGACGUUCAACCGCAAAAGAAGCAGAGGGGGCUUAGUGGUGGGGUGACUGCGUACCUUUUGUAUAAUGGGUCAGCGACUUAUAUUCUGUAGCAAGGUUAACCGAAUAGGGGAGCCGGAGGGAAACCGAGUCUUAAUUGGGCGUUAAGUUGCAGGGUAUAGACCCGAAACCCGGUGAUCUAGCCAUGGGCAGGUUGAAGGUUGGGUAACACUAACUGGAGGACCGAACCGACUAAUGUUGAAAAAUUAGCGGAUGACCUGUGGCUGGGGGUGAAAGGCCAAUCAAACCGGGAGAUAGCUGGUUCUCCCCGAAAGCUAUUUAGGUAGCGCCUCGUGAAUUCAUCUCCGGGGGUAGAGCACUGUUUCGGCUAGGGGGCCAUCCCGGCUUACCAACCCGAUGCAAACUGCGAAUACCGGAGAAUGUUAUCACGGGAGACACACGGCGGGUGCUAACGUCCGUCGUGAAGAGGGAAACAACCCAGACCGCCAGCUAAGGUCCCAAAGUCAUGGUUAAGUGGGAAACGAUGUGGGAAGGCCCAGACAGCCAGGAUGUUGGCUUAGAAGCAGCCAUCAUUUAAAGAAAGCGUAAUAGCUCACUGGUCGAGUCGGCCUGCGCGGAAGAUGUAACGGGGCUAAACCAUGCACCGAAGCUGCGGCAGCGACGCUGAUGCGUUGUUGGGUAGGGGAGCGUUCUGUAAGCCUGCGAAGGUGGCCUGUGAGGGUUGCUGGAGGUAUCAGAAGUGCGAAUGCUGACAUAAGUAACGAUAAAGCGGGUGAAAAGCCCGCUCGCCGGAAGACCAAGGGUUCCUGUCCAACGUUAAUCGGGGCAGGGUGAGUCGACCCCUAAGGCGAGGCCGAAAGGCGUAGUCGAUGGGAAACGGGUUAAUAUUCCCGUACUUGGUGUUACUGCGAAGGGGGGACGGAGAAGGCUAUGUUGGCCGGGCGACGGUUGUCCCGGUUUAAGCGUGUAGGUGUGUGUUCCAGGUAAAUCCGGUUCACUUUAACACUGAGGCGUGAUGACGAGGCACUACGGUGCUGAAGCAACAAAUGCCCUGCUUCCAGGAAAAGCCUCUAAGCAUCAGGUAACAUCAAAUCGUACCCCAAACCGACACAGGUGGUCAGGUAGAGAAUACCAAGGCGCUUGAGAGAACUCGGGUGAAGGAACUAGGCAAAAUGGUGCCGUAACUUCGGGAGAAGGCACGCUGACACGUAGGUGAAGUGAUUUACUCAUGGAGCUGAAGUCAGUCGAAGAUACCAGCUGGCUGCAACUGUUUAUUAAAAACACAGCACUGUGCAAACACGAAAGUGGACGUAUACGGUGUGACGCCUGCCCGGUGCCGGAAGGUUAAUUGAUGGGGUCAGCGCAAGCGAAGCUCCUGAUCGAAGCCCCGGUAAACGGCGGCCGUAACUAUAACGGUCCUAAGGUAGCGAAAUUCCUUGUCGGGUAAGUUCCGACCUGCACGAAUGGCGUAAUGAUGGCCAGGCUGUCUCCACCCGAGACUCAGUGAAAUUGAACUCGCUGUGAAGAUGCAGUGUACCCGCGGCAAGACGGAAAGACCCCGUGAACCUUUACUAUAGCUUGACACUGAACAUUGAGCCUUGAUGUGUAGGAUAGGUGGGAGGCUUUGAAGUGUGGACGCCAGUCUGCAUGGAGCCGACCUUGAAAUACCACCCUUUAAUGUUUGAUGUUCUAACGUGGACCCGUGAUCCGGGUUGCGGACAGUGUCUGGUGGGUAGUUUGACUGGGGCGGUCUCCUCCUAAAGAGUAACGGAGGAGCACGAAGGUUGGCUAAUCCUGGUCGGACAUCAGGAGGUUAGUGCAAUGGCAUAAGCCAGCUUGACUGCGAGCGUGACGGCGCGAGCAGGUGCGAAAGCAGGUCAUAGUGAUCCGGUGGUUCUGAAUGGAAGGGCCAUCGCUCAACGGAUAAAAGGUACUCCGGGGAUAACAGGCUGAUACCGCCCAAGAGUUCAUAUCGACGGCGGUGUUUGGCACCUCGAUGUCGGCUCAUCACAUCCUGGGGCUGAAGUAGGUCCCAAGGGUAUGGCUGUUCGCCAUUUAAAGUGGUACGCGAGCUGGGUUUAGAACGUCGUGAGACAGUUCGGUCCCUAUCUGCCGUGGGCGCUGGAGAACUGAGGGGGGCUGCUCCUAGUACGAGAGGACCGGAGUGGACGCAUCACUGGUGUUCGGGUUGUCAUGCCAAUGGCACUGCCCGGUAGCUAAAUGCGGAAGAGAUAAGUGCUGAAAGCAUCUAAGCACGAAACUUGCCCCGAGAUGAGUUCUCCCUGAGACUUAGAGUCUCCUGAAGGAACGUUGAAGACGACGACGUUGAUAGGCCGGGUGUGUAAGCGCAGCGAUGCGUUGAGCUAACCGGUACUAAUGAACCGUGAGGCUUAACCUU
rnacentral:rRNA from 1 species